AGCACGAUGGCCGAGUGGUUAAGGCGUUGGACUUAUGUUUCAAUAGACAAGUAUUCGCAAAGGUUCGAGACCCACUCGUGCUA
rnacentral:tRNA from 1 species